rnacentral:snoRNA from 1 species
GUGCCCUGUGCCUCGCUCGGCCUUGUUUCUCUAUGGCUAGGUCUUGAGCUGGAUAAUUCUAUGCGCUUCGCGCUGCAUACAAUUAAUGGGCUAUAGCGAAUUUGAGACUUCUUUUGAGUACGAGUUCACCUGUGGCUUAUUGCUACGCGUGGUUAACAUCGUAAUUGGAACGUCCAAUAUCU